GAUGAACGCUAGCUACAGGCUUAACACAUGCAAGUCGAGGGACCAGCGCACGGGUGCGUAACACGUAUCCAACCUGCCCUUUACUCGGGGAUAGCCUUUCGACAGAAAGAUUAAUACCCGUUCUAAUGGAUGGGGAUGCGUUCCAUUAGGUUGUUGGUGAGGUACCGGCUCACCAAGCAUUCGAGGGAGAGGGGUGCGGAGAUGAAGGUCACACACGUUGCAACUGGGACCCGGUCCAAACUGCUACGGGCGGCAGCAGUGAGGAAUGUGGGUGAAUGAGCGCUAGCCGGAACCAGCCAAGUAGCGUGAAGGAUGAAGGCUUAUGGGUCGUAAACUGCUUGUAUAUAAGAAUAUGUAUUAUAUGAAUAAGGAUCGGCUAACUCCGUGCCAGCAGCCGCGGUAAUAC
rnacentral:rRNA from 1 species